CACAGAACAUCUACUUUUUCAUAACACAAUUUACUGCCUUAUGUUCUAAUUCAGAAUUUUUUUUCCUUUAAAUUUGGAAGCUCUUGUAAAAGGUCAUUUGUUCAGCUUCCUGUAUUACUCGUAGGAAGGCUUUAGGCUGUCAAGAAUCAGGAGUUAGUGGAUUGGAGCUUCUGCAACAGUUCCCAGUAUAAUCUUUAGAAAGGUUCAACUUUGCAGCAACAGGGGAAGGUAGCUGAAUAGAGAACAUGGUCAAAAGAAACCUAUUCAAGUCCAUUGGCAGGAAUAAUGUAAGUAAAGUCAUUACUAGCCACUUUAUUCUUAAUUUUUAAGUACAGCAACCC